rnacentral:rRNA from 1 species
UUGGUGCCUUCGGGAACUGUGAGACAGGUGCUGCAUGGCUGUCGUCAGCUCGUGUUGUGAAAUGUUGGGUUAAGUCCCGCAACGAGCGCAACCCUUAUCCUUUGUUGCCAGCGGUCCGGCCGGGAACUCAAAGGAGACUGCCAGUGAUAAACUGGAGGAAGGUGGGGAUGACGUCAAGUCAUCAUGGCCCUUACGACCAGGGCUACACACGUGCUACAAUGGCAUAUACAAAGAGAAGCGACCUCGCGAGAGCAAGCGGACCUCAUAAAGUAUGUCGUAGUCCGGAUUGGAGUCUGCAACUCGACUCCAUGAAGUCGGAAUCGCUAGU